AUUGAACGCUGGCGGCAGGCCUAACACAUGCAAGUCGAACGGUAACAGGAAGAAGCUUGCUUCUUUGCUGACGAGUGGCGGACGGGUGAGUAAUGUCUGGGAAACUGCCUGAUGGAGGGGGAUAACUACUGGAAACGGUAGCUAAUACCGCAUAACGUCGCAAGACCAAAGAGGGGGACCUUCGGGCCUCUUGCCAUCGGAUGUGCCCAGAUGGGAUUAGCUAGUAGGUGGGGUAACGGCUCACCUAGGCGACGAUCCCUAGCUGGUCUGAGAGGAUGACCAGCCACACUGGAACUGAGACACGGUCCAGACUCCUACGGGAGGCAGCAGUGGGGAAUAUUGCACAAUGGGCGCAAGCCUGAUGCAGCCAUGCCGCGUGUAUGAAGAAGGCCUUCGGGUUGUAAAGUACUUCCAGCGGGGAGGAAGGGAGUAAAGUUAAUACCUUUACUCAUUGACGUUACCCGCAGAAGAAGCACCGGCUAACUCCGUG
rnacentral:rRNA from 1 species